CUUCAAGGUGCUGCAUGGUUGUCGUCAGCUCGUGCCGUGAGGUGUCGGGUUAAGUCCCAUAACGAGCGCAACCCUUACCCGUUAGUUACCAUCAGGUUAAGCUGGGGACUCUAGCGGGACUGCCACUGUAAGGUGAGAGGAAGUGGGGAUGACGUCAAAUCAGCACGGCCCUUAUGUCCAGGGCUACACACGUGUUACAAUGGCCGGUACAAAGGGGCAGCUACUUCGCGAGAAGAUGCUAAUCUCGAAAGCCGGUCUCAGUUCGGAUCGAAGUCUGCAACCCGACUUCGUGAAGCUGGAUUCGCUAGUAAUCGCGCAUCAGCCAUGGCGCGGUCGAAUACGUCCCGGGCCUU
rnacentral:rRNA from 1 species